GUUCCUGGGAGGAAAUCCCAGCUAACCAGAGACACGAUCGGGGACUUGUCUGCUCUCGGGUCUAGGAGAGAACGUAUGAGGUAUGUACCCUGUGAGUGUUGAUUGAUUGGCACGUACCCAGGGAACUCACGUGACACUGUGCAUCAUAGGAGUAACUGCAGUAGAUUUGCAGAAAAGCCAGCCAGAGAAAAUGGCAUGUCCUACAAGGAGGGCCUGCACACAUCCAGGUACAAUUUUGGCUACCACGAUGAUGAUCAUGAGCAGGCAGUUUGCAGGGUCCUGGUAGAAAAGCUGUGUCCAUAGAAACGUUGGUCACAUAUGUGGUUUCAAGUUCCCAUGGAGAGGUCACAGGAAACCUCUUUGUGCUUGAGCAGAGGACUGUGCCUGAAUUUAGGGCAGUGACGGUGUGGGCCUAAGCAGGCCGUGGAGUAUCCGACCUUCCCAUAGUCAGGUAAACGCGGAUGGCUUUCUGACUCUUGUCCCCAUCCUGCCAUGGGUUCCUUAUCUCAUUUUCUGUUCUUUAUUUUCUGCAGUUAUUCAGUUAAGAAACAAUGCUUUGCCAACCAAGGCUAGUAAGCAUUGGUCCUUCUAUGUUCAACUUUGGGAAAAUGUGCCUUGAACAUGAGUUCUUGUUGGCUGAGGAAGAUGUGGGCAUCCAGGUGCGCCAAGUGGCAUCCAGGAAACACCUGUCAGAUGCGUUUCUUCUCUGCUGCUAGUCACACGAUCAAGGCCAGUCUGAGAAUGGCCAUUCAGGGGCCCUGGAUAGUAACCAGGUUCCUGUCAAGAGAUUAUAACAAACCUAACAAUGAUCAUUAUCAGGGACUGUUUCUGGUAUCCAGGUUUCCUGGUAGAGAUGUUUCCUGCAUUGAUGAAAGUGAAUAA
rnacentral:lncRNA from 1 species